AAUUCAGAUUUCAGAUUCAGAAUUCAGAUUCAGAAUUCAGAUUCAGAAUUCAGAAUUCAUCUGAAUUCUGAAUCUGAAUUCUGAAUCUGAAUUCUGAAUCUGAAUUCU